rnacentral:rRNA from 1 species
AUUGAACGCUGGCGGCAGGCCUAACACAUGCAAGUCGAGCGAGCGGCGGACGGGGUAGUAAUGUCUGGGACACUGCCUGAUGGAGGGGGGUAACUACUGGAAACGGUAGCUACUACCGCAUACCAUCAGAGGUGCCCAGAUGGGAUUAGCUAGUAGGUGGGGUAAUGGAUCACCUAGGAGACGCUCCCUAGCUGGUCUUAGAGGAUGACCAGCCACACUGGAACUGAGACACGGUCCAGACUCCUACGGGAGGCAGCAGUGGGGAAGAUUGCACAAUGGGCGAAAGCCUGAUCCAGCCAUGCCGAGUGUGUGAUGAAGGUCUUCGGAUUGUAAAGCACUUUGAGUUGGGAGGCGUUACCAACAGAAUAAGCACCGGCUAACUUCGUGCCAGCAGCCGCGGUAAUUC